UGGGGAAUUUUGGACAAUGGGCGCAAGCCUGAUCCAGCCAUGCCGCGUGCGGGAAGAAGGCCUUCGGGUUGUAAACCGCUUUUGUCAGGGAAAGAAAUCUUCUGAGUUAAUACCUCGGGAGGAUGACGGUACCUGAAGAAUAAGCACCGGCUAACUACGUGCCAGCAGCCGCGGUAAUACGUAGGGUGCAAGCGUUAAUCGGAAUUACUGGGCGUAAAGUGUGCGCAGGCGGUUUUGUAAGACAGAGGUGAAAUCCCCGGGCUCAACCUGGGAAACUGCCUUUGUGACUGCAAGGCUUUGAGUGCGGCAGAGGGGGGAUGGAAUUCCGCGUGUAGCAGUGAAAUGCGUAGAUAUGCGGAGGAACACCGAUGGCGAAGGCCAAUCCCCUGGGCCUGCANUGACGCUCAUGCACGAAAAGCGUGGGGGAGCAAAC
rnacentral:rRNA from 1 species